rnacentral:rRNA from 1 species
UAGAGUUUGAUCAUGGCUCAGAACGAACGCUGGCGGCAGGCUUAACACAUGCAAGUCGAACGCUCGUAGCAAUACGGGAGUGGCAGACGGGUGAGUAACGCGUGGGAACAUACCCUCCGGUUCGGAAUAGCUCAGGGAAACUUGGAUUAAUACCGGAUACGGCCGAGAGGCGAAAGAUUUAUCGCCGGAGGAUUGGCCCGCGUUCGAUUAGCUUGUUGGUGAGGUAACGGCUCACCAAGGCGAUGAUCGAUAGCUGGUCUGAGAGGAUGAUCAGCCACAUUGGGACUGAGACACGGCCCAAACUCCUACGGGAGGCAGCAGUGGGGAAUAUUGGACAAUGGGCGCAAGCCUGAUCCAGCCAUGCCGCGUGAGUGAUGAAGGCCUUAGGGUUGUAAAGCUCUUUCGCUCGGGACGAUAAUGACGGUACCGAGAUAAGAAGCCCCGGCUAACUUCGUGCCAGCCGCCGCGGUAAUUC